rnacentral:rRNA from 1 species
UUCAACCUACGGGGGGCAGCAGUCGAGAAUCAUUCACAAUGGGGGAAACCCUGAUGGUGCGACGCCGCGUAUAGGAAGAAGGUCUUCGGAUUGUAAACUAUUGUCGUUAGGGAAGAAAAAAGACAGUACCUGUAGAAUAAGCUCCGGCUAACUACGUGCCAGCAGCCGCGGUAAUACGUAGGGAGCAAGCGUUAUCCGGAUUUAUUGGGUGUAAAGGGUGCGUAGACGGGAAAACAAGUUAGUUGUGAAAUCCCUCAGCUUAACUGAGGAACUGCAACUAAAACUAUUUUUCUUGAGUGCUGGAG